rnacentral:rRNA from 1 species
AUAUCAAUAAGCGGAGGAAAAGAAACCAACAGGGAUUGCCCCAGUAACGGCGAGUGAAGCGGCAACAGCUCAGAUUUGAAAUCUGGCGCCUUUGGCGUCCGAGUUGUAAUCUGUAGAGGAUGCUUUUGGGUAGCCACCGGUCUAAGUCCCCUGGAACGGGGCGUCACAGAGGGUGAGAAUCCCGUAUGUGACCGGAAGGGCGCCCUCCACAUAGCUCCUUCGACGAGUCGAGUUGUUUGGGAAUGCAGCUCUAAAUGGGAGGUAAAUUCCUUCUAAAGCUAAAUACCGGCCAGAGACCGAUAGCGCACAAGUAGAGUGAUCGAAAGAUGAAAAGCACUUUGGAAAGAGAGUUAAAAAGCACGUGAAAUUGUUGAAAGGGAAGCGCUUGCAACCAGACUUGUUGGCGGUGUUCCGCCGGUCUUCUGACCGGUCUACUCACCGUCUGCAGGCCAGCAUCAUCUGGGGCCGCUGGAUAAAAGCGAGGGGAAUGUGGCUCCCCCGGGAGUGUUAUAGCCCCUCGUGCAAUACAGCGAGCCUCGGGUGAGGUCCGCGCUUCGGCUAGGAUGCUGGCGUAAUGGUCGUAAGCGGCCCGUCUUGAAACACGGACCAAGGAGUCUAACAUCUAUGCGAGUGUUCGGGUGUCAAACCCCUACGCGUAAUGAAAGUGAACGGAGGUGGGAGCCUUAGGGUGCACCAUCGACCGAUCCUGAUGUCUUCGGAUGGAUUUGAGUAAGAGCAUAGCUGUUGGGACCCGAAAGAUGGUGAACUAUGCCUGGAUAGGGUGAAGCCAGAGGAAACUSUGGUGGAGGCUCGCAGCGGUUCUGACGUGCAAAUCGAUCGUCAAAUUUGGGUAUAGGGGCGAAAGACUAAUCGAACCAUCUAGUAGCUG